rnacentral:siRNA from 1 species
CAAAUACAGAAUUGGGGGCUU